AUACUUUAAAAGCAUUUUUAUCGUACAUGUGUUUAAAUAAUUCAUAAGAACAAGUAAUAAUACCUCAUGUUAUCUAUUUUUCAAAAAUAUUUCAUAUUUUUCCACCUCUUCUUUCAGAUGAUCUUUAGAAAAACUUGUGAAGAUUCAAUGUGGCGGUUGUCUUUCAAAGAUGGUCUUGUCAAUCACAAGACAUUCAAGAGGAUAUGCAGAGCCCAUUCUUUCAAAAAGAGGAGCGUAAACUUCGCAUAAAAACAUGGAAGAUGGAAAAUAUUUUGGCCACUAUCUUGGAAAUGUAAUCCGCCACAUGGAUCUUAAGAUUCAUUUUUUAUUUUUGCUUGUUGUGAGCAAUAAAAUAUUUACCUAGGCUUAUAUAAUGCAUACAUCACAAUUUUCCCAAAGAAGAAUUUUAAUAUGGGAGUUUUGGAUACACACAGGAUGUGAAUUGCAGACGUUCUCCUAAGAGUUUACCUAGUUGUUUAAGGUACUGAAACUUAAUCUUCAGUUCCAUGGUACUGGGAGAUAAGGUAUGUGGUAAUGGAAUCAGUGUCUUUAUGAAAGAUGUUGGAGAGAGCUUAUCUGUUGUUUCCACCAUGUGAAGACACAUCAGUGAGGCACCAUCUUU